GAUGAACGCUAGCUACAGGCUUAACACAUGCAAGUCGAGGGGAAACGCCAUAGAAAGCUUGCUUUUGAUGGGCGUCGACCGGCGCACGGGUGAGUAACGCGUAUCCAACCUGCUUAUCACUUGGGAAUAACCUUGCGAAAGUAAGACUAAUACACAAUGCUAUCCCACGAAGGCAUCGGAAUGGGAUUACAGAUUUAUCGGUGAUGGCUGGGGAUGCGUCUGAUUAGUUUGUUGGCGGGGUCCCGGCCCACCAAGGCUACGAUCAGUAGGUGAUCUGAGAGUAAGGCCCCCGAGAUGGGAAAUGAGACCCGGACCAAACUGCGACGGGAGGCAGUAGUAAGGUAGAUAGGUGGAUGGACGAUGGCCUGAACCAGCCAAGUAGCGUGCAGGAAGACGGCGCUAUGGAUUGUAAACUGCUUGGAUAAAAAAGUAAAAGGGGUCACGUGUGACUUUUUGCAGGUACCUAAUAAAUAAGGACCGGCUAAUUCCGUG
rnacentral:rRNA from 1 species